AAAGCUUAAGUUUCUAUUGUUUUUCUCUCGCUAACAUUGUCUCGCGGCAGAUCUUCUACACCUUCAGGGGUUGUGUACACUGAAGCCCGAACAUAAUUUUUAACAGGGGAGGCUCACCCUUGCACGCAUCUGCUAAAGUCCAAAAAUCGACUCCUCUCCCCCCAAAACCUCUCACAUCUGCUAUUUGGGGUAGGAAGAGCGAAGAAAAGGUGGUCGAAGUGCUGGUGGAAAACGCAGAAGUGCUUCAGACAUGUUUCAGUAAUGCCAAGUAGCAUCUUUCUCCAGUUCACUACAGUAUGUUUGAAUUCUAUUAAUCUUCAGCCUCUUGCUGCUAAAGGUUCGUCAGAAAGGCUCAGUGAUCAUCCUGACUUCUCUGGGAUUUUUUCUGAAGAGAAAAGCCUCAUUAUUGCUCAGUGAAUUGAAGAAGAGAAUGCCAGACACCUUCAGAGGACAUUAGGCUGGCCUGCAACUCAUAGCCAGCAACUUGGAAGGGUUUUUUUAAAAAAUAAAAACAAACAAACCAGCUCAUUCCUAACAGCAGAGGCUUAUUUCUGAGUCAUAAAUGUGGAGAUAGGGGCACAAAACAGGAAAAUAGCAUUUUCAAACCUUACCUGUGGGU